rnacentral:ncRNA from 1 species
GGAUUUUGACUUGUAUGAAUGCUUUAGAAUAGUAGAGUUUGUCUGAUCCGACAUGCGAAGUGGAUAGUUUAUUUAGGACGGAUACUUCCUAAAGAGUGAUGAAGGUGUGGAAGGUAGGCUCAAGCUAAAAUUCUGCUCGUGAGCAUAAUUGUUUAAUUGUGAGAUCGACUGGUCGAACAGAGAUGAAAGUAGAUCAUAGUGAUCCGGGAGUCUGCUAUGGAAGGACUCUCGCUCAACGAAUCAAAAGUACAC